GCCGCAGGUGUCCGGUUGUCUUCAUUCUCCGCCAGCCUGGAUCCGCUCCAGGUCAACUGGAACGGAUGGGAGGACAUCGGCCGUGGUCUGAGUGAACGGAGUUUGGACAAAAGCUGUGUGCACACAAAAACAAGGUAAGCAGACCUUUUAUUUCUGCUAUAUUGAACAUUAUAAAAAUACUUAGUGUCCAAACUCCUAGUAAUUCAUAACCAAAAUUGUCUGGCUUACUUAAGGCUUGUUGAGAAUCAGACAAGUGAAUAAGAGAUAAGUGAAUAAGAAAUAAGUGAAUAAGUGAAUAAAGAUAAGAGUGAACUGAGGUCUGACCACGGUUGCAGCCGACGGGUUGCUCUCCGGUGUCGGAUAAAUACCUCAGUGCAGGUCUGGGACCUUGAAAGGGUUUAUUAGUAACGCCUUUCUAAACAAAUUAAAAGGUUAAAGGCCUUGAGAAUAUUUUUUAGUAAUAUUCUCUAAACUACAGAAGGGUUAGGAAGGCCCAGAGGACUUUAUUAGAAAAGAUCCUCUAAAA